ACGCACGCUGGCGGCGUGCUUAACACAUGCAAGUCGAACGGAAAGGCCCUGCUUUUGUGGGGUGCUCGAGUGGCGAACGGGUGAGUAACACGUGAGUAACCUGCCCUUGACUUUGGGUUAACUUCAGGAAACUGGGGCUAAUACCGGAUAGGAGCUCCUGCUCCAUGGGGGGGGUUGGAAAGUUUCGGCGGUUGGGGAUGGACUCGCGGCUUAUCAGCUUGUUGGUGGGGUAGUGGCUUACCAAGGCUUUGACGGGUAGCCGGCCUGAGAGGGUGACCGGCCACAUUGGGACUGAGAUACGGCCCAGACUCCUACGGGAGGCAGCAGUGGGGAAUAUUGCACAAUGGGCGGAAGCCUGAUGCAGCAACGCCGCGUGCGGGAUGACGGCCUUCGGGUUGUAAACCGCUUUCGCCUGUGACGAAGCGUGAGUGACGGUAAUGGGUAAAGAAGCACCGGCUAACUACGUG
rnacentral:rRNA from 1 species